CAGGAGCUGUAGAAGGAAGCUGUUGGAGAGACUGAGGAGUAUAAACCAUAUCAGGCACAAGGAAAGAGGCCCUGAGAUCUGGAGCCUGGGUUCCACAACAGCUCCUGUGGACUUUAAAUAACAUUUUUCCAGGCUCCAGCUCCAGACUGAGGCUCUAGGAGGCCGUGCCAAAAGGACCACAGCUAAGAUGGCUGCCACCGCCCUCUGACCCCAUUUCGCAGCCUGCUUGGAGUCAGAGGUGGAGGCAGAGAAAUCAGAAACCCUUGCUGAGGUCAACAGGCUGAUCUGGAUGAGCAGUUCACUGGAACAUGGACAAGGCAGGGCUGAAUGGCCACAGCCAAGAGAGAGUCUGAUUCAUACCCAGAUAAUUUAGUAUAGUUUCACUUUGAGUUUGGAAGCCGGGCAAAAGAGUACAGUUCAGGGAGUUCUUGCACUGGUCUGAGACUCUAGCUUCAUGGAUCUGGGCACCCACUACUGCAGCGACCAGCAUCCAGACAGCGAGAGAUUCAACUCGACACAGGCUACUGAGUGCCAGCCAAGACCCCACCAGCAUUCUAGACCAGAAGAACGAGCAAACCUGCUUGCAGUCAGAAGAGGGCUCUGUCUCAUCCAAAAGUGAAGAAGUAUGGUGAUAUUUUUGUUUAAGGUAGCUAAUCCCACAGCAUUGCAAUGCUCCAUCUCAGGACAUGCCACUUUGGCUGAGCCAUCUGCUUUGGGAAUGUGCAAU